UCACAUGAUGGCAGCCCCUCCUUCUCCUCUGUGUGUCAGUUGAUCCCGUCUGUCUUUUCCUCAUGUUUCUCUCCCCUAUCUGUGUUCUGUGUGUGUGAGUGGCUUUUCUGUUGCAGGCAGUGCCAGGUGCAACUCAUUCCCACAAUCAAGACCUGUCCUAUAAAGACUCUGGUUUUCCAUCCACUCAUUGCCAGAUUGUUCCGUCAACCAGCAUGUCCUGGCUUCUCCCAUGUACCUGUGUCGCUGCCUGCCUGCUUGCCUGCCUGUUGCUCCAGCCUGUACUGUGCUCAUGCCUGCUACGUUGCCUGCCUGCCUGUGUUCCUGACUGACCAUCACCUGUUCCUACCUCACCUUCCUGGGCUACAUUCUGGAGAGCAGGCCGGUGAGGACUGAUCCUGCAAAGAUCUAAGCAGUCACUGAGUGGCCGGAACCCACUUCACGGAAGAAGCUCCAGAGGUUCCUGGGGUUUGCCAAAAUCGGCAGUUGAGGUAUUCUGUGAGGCAUUCUGUGAGCUCAAGAGGCACUUUUCCACAGCUCCCAGCUGCAGCCUGAUCCCCCUUGUCAGUUCGUCGUAGAGGUGGACACCUUUGAUAUUGGUGUUGGGGCUGUCCUUUUUCAAAGAGCUGCAGGAGACGACAAGCUUUAUCCCUGUGCCUUCUUCUCCAAGAAGCUUUCACCUGCGGAAAGAAACUAUGAUGUCGGCCACAAGAAGUUGCUAGCAUUGGAGGAGUGGCACCACUGGCUGGAGGGAGCAGAAUCACCAUUUACGGUCCUGAAGUGAGGUCACACAUCUCGGUUUGCCUGUUACCCUGGGCCCACCAUGACUCUUUAUACCCGCAGUGCCAGGUGCAAUUCAUUCCCACAAUCAAGACUGUCCUAUAGAGACUCUGGUUUUCCAUCCACUCAUCGCCAGAUUGUUCUGUCAACCAGCAUGAACUGGCCUCUCCCGUGUACCCGUGUCGCUGCCUGCCUGCCUGCUUGCCUGCCUGUGCCCACUGUGUCACAAUAAAUAUUGUCUUAAAUCUGCCCCUAAUGAUCUGUGUCAUGCUCUUGGGUCCGGUCCCUGUUGAAACUGUAUCAAA